GGUGAACCUGCGGAAGGWCCAUUG
rnacentral:rRNA from 1 species